UGGGGAAUUUCGGACAAUGGGCGCAAGCCUGAUCCAGCCAUGCCGCGUGUGGGAAGAAGGCCUUCGGGUUGUAAACCACUUUUGUCAGGGAAGAAACGGCUCUUACUAAUAUUAGGAGCUAAUGACGGUACCUGAAGAAUAAGCACCGGCUAACUACGUGCCAGCAGCCGCGGUAAUACGUAGGGUGCAAGCGUUAAUCGGAAUUACUGGGCGUAAAGCGUGCGCAGGCGGCUUUGCAAGACAGAUGUGAAAUCCCCGGGCUCAACCUGGGAACUGCAUUUGUGACUGCAAGGCUAGAGUACGGUAGAGGGGGAUGGAAUUCCGCGUGUAGCAGUGAAAUGCGUAGAUAUGCGGAGGAACACCGAUGGCGAAGGCAAUCCCCUGGACCUGUACUGACGCUCAUGCACGAAAGCGUGGGGAGCAAACAGGAUUAGAUACCCCCGUAGUCCCUGAGCGGGCUGGCAAGGCGCAU
rnacentral:rRNA from 1 species